UCGGCGUCGUACGGCACGGGAGAUCCCUCCGGUGGUCAUCCAUGGACGUGGCGGCGAGCGCUCUGCUUCCUCUGCUCCGGCCACGGGCCGCUGCCGUGGUCUCGCGCGGGGCCGGACCUAUGGCAGGGUGGGGCGAAACUGGUGGUUUCGGGACGGGGAGCUGGUUGGAAGGACUGGAGCUCCGUUGCGGAGCUGCCCAUCACUGGCCCAAGUGGUUGCCAGUCGUGGCCGUGGGCCAUUCCUCCCCCUCCCCCCUUCCCCAUCCUCAUGUGUUCUCGGUUCCGGCGUUGCUCGAGGUGGAGGUGGUUGGCCGGCGGUCUCGGAGGCAGUUUGGGUGCGGAUUUGCUCAAAGUCUCGGCCUUUGGUGAUCAUCAGGGCGGUCUGGAGGCAGAGCGGCGGCUCUGGCGGCAGGAGGCGCGUUGGUCGUGGGCUGACCGUGCGGCUCGGGUGCGGGCGGGCAGCCACGGUCGCUUGGGCGGCAUGGCUGCGGGUGGUUGGUGGAGCGGGGUUGCGACGGAGAGGUUGGAGCACCGGGGUUCACCACUUGACCAGUCCCGGUACUGGCCGACGGAGGCGGCGUCCGCGGACGCCGUUCCCCUCCCUGCAGGCUUCGUCGUGGUGCUCCCACCGCCUCCUACGCGUCACUCCGGGUGAAAACUUGAUCUUCUGGAUCAGAUGAUGACGGCUUUCUACGGUCGUAUCCUUCUUGAGGGUGUCGUCUUGGAGUCCCCGCUUUGGUCGUGUCCGGCUCAUCACUCCUCGGUUGAUUGUUCAUCUUCAUGGUGGUUAUCGGCUUAUCAUUAGGGUGCUUAGUCGUCGUUGGGGUGAUGUGUUCGGUGCUCGGCACCUUUGUAUCUCGCCUUGGGUGCGUGCGUUGAGUGUGGUGGUGGAGUGCGUUUGUAUCUUACUCACAUGUGUUGGUGAUGAUGCUUUAUCUAUAAAGCGGGGGAAACCCUUUUUCUUAAAGAGAAAAGAAUAUUGAGCCCUUUAUAAAGAAAAUUCAUGAGAGCUUUGCAUCAUGCAGUUGUCCGUGUUAUUGUUGGGGGUACUCUUGGACGGCUCAUACAAACACCCGGUCGGCAGCAAGGUCAAGAACUAUGCCCGCACCUGCCGCUGUGGGCACGACCGUGGAAAAUCGGGAUUGCAUGAGCUCCUGAUUUUAUUUCAAUAGAUUAAUUAGUAACUAUACAUUCUCGUUGUACUAGUUCUCAAUUUAAUCUGAAUAGUUGUAUUGAUCUCCUCCAUCCCAUCCCCGCACCUCAAAUCCUGCCCUGAAUAGAUAAUCACUCGUCAAAAAAAUUUAUUGCCCCAAAACUGUAAAACCUAUGUUGAGAUUUUAGACUGCUGAUAUUUUUUUGUUCUCCAGCAUGCAUACAAAACUGCAUCACAAUUCGAAACUGCUAUCAUAUCCUUUCAGAAAGGCUCAUUGGGAAAUAACAUUAAAUGAAAGGUGCGUCCAUAUGGUAGUAUUAGUGAACACACAUAUACUAGCUAGGCAUUAUGCUCAUGGAUGCAGCCACUCGCUAAUACAUAUCAGCAGGGAAACAAGGGACAGCAUAUGGAAACAGUACAUGGGUCAAUGAAGCAUAUUUUAUUUGUCUUGAUGAACAUAUAGACCAAUGUAAACUAAAAGAAGCAUUUGUCUUGAUGAACAAAUUUUAUCCGCUCGCAGCAGAACACCAACCGUCGCCAAUGAAGAAUAGCGUAGAUUGGAGUGAACCUACUUGAAGACACAUGAGCGUAGAUGAAUUACAACCAGAUUCAAGCAAAUCCACCAAGGACAGAUCCGCCGGUGACACACCUCCACAUGCCCACCGAUGAUGCUAGGCACACCAUCAGGACGGGGGCUAGGUGGGGAGAACCUUAUUCCAUCUUCAGAAAGCCGCCGUCAUCUCGUCUUCCGGAGCAGGAAAUAAACCCUAACAAAACGCAAAGAAACAACUGAAAACAGAGCCGAGAUCCACCGCGCAGCCAUCGCCCUAAGGCCACUGGAGACGAGGCGGACCAAUCGCAGUGCCGGUGGGAGGCAGGGGAACCCUAGACAUUUCUUGGGGAGGAGGCAACCCGCUUGGGUAUGAGAAAUUGGCAACUAAAAGAAUAAUUGAUCAGGCAGAAUCUACUAUGUACCAAAAACUAACAAAAUCAUGGGUCGUUAGGUUCUCUCCUAAAAAUGGUCGGAUAUAUUAUACACCAAUAAUGAACACCAUGGCUCUUUUUGUAUCCGGUGGCCUUAAUCUGUUCUUCAAGGCAUGUGUUGUAUCUAUUUGUUUCGGACAAUACAAUCAAAGAGGGUUUGCAAGUUGCUGAGGAUAAUAUGUCUAGCUAUAUGAUAUCCAAAAUAGCACUUCAUGGUUUGGUAAUGUGUCACUUUCAAAGACUGAUGGGCCUGGUCAUAUUUGAGGAAGACAAUGACAAAUAAAAUCUUGGUCUUAGUCCUCUAUAUAGUUUGUCUUCAAGGCAUGAUGUAUUAAUUUGCCAAGCAAUAAAAAUUAAAACGCGAUAGCAUAUUUCCUCAAAAGUCUCUAUCUUGGCAAAAUAAGAAAUAGAAAACGACGCAUGACCUUUCUUCUUUCUGAGGGCUGAUACAUGUACAUGAUAUUGUUCCGCCCCACAAGUAUAGUCUAUCCAAAUAAAAAGGUCGGCCGAAGAAAAUGAAAAAAAAAAGACGAACACAUUUGCUGGUCCUUAAGGGUAUGGAACCAACAUGCUAGUCCUCCAGCACUAUAAAUAGCACCCCUAGACUCUUGAGUAUCUCUCACACAGCCAACAACAGAGCAAAGAGUCAAUUUAUUGUAGACACCUCCUACCAUCUUUGUGGGAGCCAAAAUCUUAGCCAUGGGCCGUCCUAGCCGUGUCCUUCCCAUCAUUUUGGUCCUGCAUUUCAUUCUAUCCAUGGCCAGUCCAUCCCUUUCUUGCGUUAUUCCUUGUGAGUCUGAGAUAAACUUGCGCUUAUACUUGCACCAAAUCGCUGCUGGAUCGGGCACCAACCAGGUAGCAAUUGUCGCAUCCAACCAACCAGCCGGGUUUGGUACGACUGCUGUUAACGACUGGACUGUGAUUGAUGGACCAAACCCCGGUACUGCCACCAUUGUUGCCCGUACCAAAGGCAUGCAUGUGCAGGCUGAUGUAGGCGGUCCAGGCUGGUUCAACUACUUCAGCAUGGUGUUUGAGGACGCCAGGUAAUUUAUACUGUUGGACUAGAAGUUCUAGUUUUCUCAGUUACCAAGAUCUCAUAUACUAAAGAUUGUCUGGUUUUAUAUGAUACGUGAUGUGUUACUCUCCAAAACCAUAUCAGGCGCCGUGGAUCGUCAUUUGAAGUAAUGGGGAUGAACAGAGCUCAAGAAGGCGAGAUGGCCAUUAUUGGUGGGACUGGAGAGUUUGCUAUGGCACGUGGGACCAUCAAGUAUAGAGCACUCGCCAACCCCCCUCCAGGCCAAAGUAUUAAAGAACUCAAUAUUCAUGCAUUCUACGUCAAACCAGCUGUAAGUAGACAUGUUUAAUUGGCUACUUAAUUUGUAUGUAUUUGCUUUGUUGUUUCUAGUGUAUCUAUCUAGUUCAACAUGAUAUCGUGAUACCAACAUAGUUCGGGUCAUGUAACAAAAGGGCAUUUAAAUUGCACAGCUAUCUAGUUCACUAAGAAAGCUAGUUUGAGUCAUCCAGAUAAAAAUUAUGAAUCGCUGUUAUUCCUUGAUAAACCUCAAUAUUAGUACCUUAAUGCCUAGAUUCUUAAUAAAUGUAGCAAUGCUGAUAUUACCGGGGAUUCCUUUUCUUUUUCCAGGGCACUAUAGCUGGCCCCACAAUCCAGUGAUAUGUUUGAAAACUACGUGGACAACCACGAUGGGUAGCUGUGGAAGGAGCUUUGCAAUGAGCUUGUCAGUGUUUUCAUUUUCAAAUAAACCAUGGAUUUCUAGCUCGUGAUAUUCCAUCAAUCCAAAGAUCCAUGUCCGACCGUUUGUUGUUGUUUUAAGAUGUAUGUUUGGGAUCAUGUCUUAUCGGUGUGUAUCAGAAUAAAGAAGUUUGGUUUGUGUAGUGAAUUUUUAAUAUGAAGAAUAUUACUCCCGUUGUGUGAAUCUUUACUUAUUUCACACUUACAGUUGAACUACAUUGACGACCUAUAGUAUGUCGGAAAUUGGUCUAAUUACUCAGUUAAACACAAGAGAACAAAUUAUGGCAUGAUCCCUUUAGUAACCAUCAAUGAUUAAAGGAAAAGCAGGCAUUAUCCUUGAUUAAUCAUAGCUAAUUAAUUCUUAACAGCAUUCACCUAUACCUCAUGAGGAUUACAUACAAGCGAACUCAUGCGUACAUUUAUGAGGCUAGUAGUAUUUUUAUUCUAUGCCAUUUGUUAAUGCUAGUACAUGAAUUCAGUUUAAUAACACUAUUAAACAUAUGUAUCUUGUGUAUGUACCAUUGUAACUGAGCCUUAUUGUAUCAGAGUCCCUGGAGUUUACCAGACCAACAGGUAACCUAAGAUAUCGCCAAGGUUAACUUAAGAAGUGAAGCACGUCACAAAAACAAGCGCCGAGAUCCUAAGCCUUUAAGAGCCAACAUAAAUGGCUCAUAAAUUGUCAAAAAGAACUCAAUUGAUCUAAACCUUAGGAAAACUUAAAAUUCAUAGCACACGUCUGCUGUAUAGACUAGCCGCUAACCUGACAUCUCACCAAACCAAUCUUAAAAAGUGAGGCAUGUCACCAAAGUUAACUUCGAGAUCGUAAGCCUUUGAGAAUCGAACAACAUUGGCCUAGUCUUAUACGUACUUGCACACUUUCUGAUUGAAAGUAAUUCAUGAAGGCCAUGUAAAAGAAACAGGUUCUGCCGUUUGUUGUUGUUUUAAGAUGUCUGUUUGGUUUUGUGUUUGGGAUCAUGUCUUAUUAUGUAUCAGAAAUAAAGAAGUUUGUUUGGUGUAGUAAAUUUAUAAUAUGAAGACUCUUUCUCCCGCAAUGUGGAUCUUUACGUAUUUCACACUUCCAGUUGAACUAAUGAAACACCCAACAAUAUUGUCACCAACAAAUUAAAUGAGGAGAGAAAACAGAAAUUAAAUAGAAAAGAAGAAAACAUAAACCAGUCACUAUCUCUUUCAUAUCAGACAUGGAGUUUUUGGUACCGUGUGCACAUGCACCCGUAUGGGUGAACAGUAAAAUGAAGAAAAAUAGCAAAUAAAUUCAAAACAUUCUGCAUUUUUUUGAACCAUUUUGAAACUCUCCAGCCCAUUUCCUUUUGAACUUGACGUGGCCUCAUUUGAAAACAGAGAUGAAGAUCGGUCAACAAGGUAAUCAUGUUGAAACAAGGAAAAGCAUUUUUUUAGCUUCAGCUGCACUUCUGAGUGGUCGAUCAAAAAGACUGUUUUUGAUUGCAUCGUCCUAUGAUAUGGAACCUUGUACAAGUUGUUAGUCGAAGAUUAGCAGAUUGGGGGGGAAAUCAUAUUCAAAGGAAAUGGGUGCAAGUGAUUCAGAUAUCUAGGCUAACUGCUGACCCCUGCCUGUUGGAGACACCUGCCCAAAGGACCAUCAGCGAACAAAAUCUCGGUCGAGAGCAGGCAGUCAGGCUACACCACAGGCCCAACAAUUCUCGUUCGAGAGCGACUGUGGUACAGUUCAGUUGUAGAAGCCAUUCCAUCAUCUAGCAGUAGCAGAGCAGCCAUCAGGGGAGCCUAGUGUACAAGAAAUUCACAGCAUCCUUCUGCAAGAUUCCAAACUGCAGAAUUAUUGUACGUAAAUGCAUGUCCCAACAUCCUUCUGCGUCAUUAUUCAGAAUGAAGCAAAGUCAGUUCUAGCUGAAACUCUCAAACAACAACAACAACAUCCCACUUCUGAAACAGCAACAACAUCCCACUUCUGUUUCUUCCUCGCCUUCAACAGCCAAACCUGUCUCUUCCAGCGAUGCCGGAAAAACACUUUCCUUCUCCUGAUCACACGGGUGGGGAUAACCAACCUCUUGGCAAAACACUUGAGCACCACUCCAUUUACAUAAUGUCCACAGGAAAUGAUUAGAGAACUAAUCAGGUUAGCAAGCAACUACAAGCUACUGUUGACUAGAAACAGUAUCCACAUGCAUGCAUAUAAUCUGAUCUACUCUACAGGAGUGGAUGCUAAUUAAGCUACUAACAGAGCAGGAGGUGCUUCAGGUUAAUUAACUGAAGAAACAAGGAUACAAUCUAACAUUAACUAGCUGCUAGUACAGGCAUAGCAGAGACACAGGGCUCUCGGGUGGCAAUGGUCUCCGGCGGCAGCCUCCCACAUCCCAGGGCGGCGGCGAGGGCGAGUUGUGGAGAAUAAUAUUAGAAACAAUACUACAGAAGCAGAGCACUGACUGGCGCUACAGGAGGAGGCUGCAAAGAUAAUAAACACUUGAAGAAAAAUCCCUGGGAAGACGCCGUUUACCCUGCUAAAUUUCUGUAUGCAAACCGUAAACUAUAGCCGUUUACCUAGGCCCAAAUUCGCCUGGCCAGAAGUAGUCAAACUAUAACUCUCAAUCACGCCAUCAGUAAGUUCUACUGCUAAAUUACACAAGAGUGAAACAGAGUCAGUUCUGAAUAGCAACAUUCCAUUGCUAAAACAGCUCAUGAAAUAGAUUGCCAUUCAAUUAAAGUAUGCAAGAGCCAAGCAAAAACUCACCUACCAUGCCCAAAGGCUUUUCUUCCGCGGCCAAACAUUUUUGGCAAAGCAAAAACGAAAAAGAAUUCAUCUCAGUUUGGCGAUUGGCUGAGCAAAAAAUGACCGGCGUGAUUUACGAAGAUCGGAUCGAGGCAAUCCAGAGGCGAUCGGCGGAGGGAGACGGGAAGUGCAGCUCCCCGGCGGUAUUAUUGGAGCCAAAGUGCGCUGGUGAGGAAGGCAGCGUGCGGGGAGACCACCGCAAGGUAGGAGACCCGCUGGAAAAAGGGGAUUCAUGGAGAAAAAUGAGGGACAAAAUCCAUAGAAAAAAGUAUACAUAACCCCCUAAAGUAUCACGUUUCGGCCACAUCACCCCCUCACCUCUAAAACCAUAUUCUUAAUCCCCUGAAGUUUCUACAACCGGACAAAACACCCCCUAAGCCUGUUUUAAGCGGUUUCCGUGCGCGGUAUUGUCUAUCCAGCAGUCAAAGACCAGUCAAUGGCUAUGCGCAGCCGUGGACGCGGCACAGUGUGCCGUGGAGUUGUUCGGCUCACCGGCCAAGGGCCGGCCUCGAGAGUACGCGCCCUCGCGGAACCCUGGUGCAGGAACUGGUUGCAGAAGCAAGUGGCAGUUAGUAAUCCUCGAUGAGUGGCUCCUGGUGAUGCUGGCCGCGUCUUCGCCGGCGAGGGGGAUUGCCAUCUACGAGAGCGGUCUGUUAGCAUAAUCUUGAAAGUUAGGUUUGUUUCUGUUGCCUGGUAGUAACGUACACAAGUUGGAAAGUGAUCUAUUUGUGUCCGGCUAGUAGUACUAGUUAAGCUCACGUUAGGAGUUAGUAGUCCGGUUAGUCUACGUAGUGUCCAGUCCGUGUCAUGCUAGGUUAGUAGUCAAAAGUACGAAAAGGAUAGUAAGUCCGUAUAGGGCAGGGUCUGGUUGGUCGGCUGGAAGCUGUGUAUAUAUAUACAUAGCCAGGUCACGAGAUUUGUAACGCCGUAUGAAGAAAAGGAGAAAAUAAAAAGAGGGAAAAGAGAGGCACGACACGUGCGUUUGGCAAAAGUUUUCGUGUGUGUGAGUUUAUCGUGAUUUGAUGUGAUCGAUCCUGAGGGCGCAGUUCCAACAAUUGGUAUCAGAGCAAGGUUCAGGAGUCGAGCGCUUGCCCCGGGGUGGCGACCUACUAGCGCCUCGGGGCGGGCAAUGAAGUCGCUGGGUGGUGCAGCGACGCAGAGGAUCAAGCAAUCAUCGUUCGGCGGAGCGACAAGGAGGGAGGCAGUAGGCUGUCGUCGGCAUAGUGAUGGAAGAUGAUCGUUGAUGGGAGCGGUGGUGCCGAGGUGCGGCACUGGAGCUCAUGAAGAUCAUCGUCUGGGCGAGUCGGAUGAGUCAAGGAGUCGUGCGAGUUUGCACAGUCAGUCGUCGUCGUGUCCAAGUGCUCGUCUUGGUGAUGAUUCGUUGAAGUGGAAGCGGUGUGCACGGUGUUCCGUGAGUCAUGUCCAUGUCCUUGUGGAGCGUCUUGGUUGCGGCCAGCAUGGGUUCGGUGUGAUGCCGAAGGCGGACGGUGGUAGGUGAAAUCAUCAUAAAGCGAGGAGGUGUGCGAGCAGUGAAGAGUGGAUCUGCUGCGAGCAAGUACAAGGAGUAUGGUGCGGACCGAGUGCAAGGCAGCGGCCAAGCAAUGGCGGUGGCACAACAUGGCAGAGCAAGGAGGCACUGCAUGUUUCCAAGCGGGUGAUAUUCAGUGUACUGAUAUGACAGUUGAAGAUCAAGCUUGACGUGCAGUGGGACAGUGACCAGUUAAGUUGAACGACGUGAAGACUGAUGAUGCGUCCAGUCUUGCACGUUGCACGUGUAGACGUGAAGACUGAUGAUGCGUCCGGAUCAUGCGUCAGAUUUUAGAUCGUCAAGUCGUGGAUCUCCAACGAGUCAAGAUGAGAAGGAGCAUGAGGAAGAUGACAAGUCAAGAUUAGGGAAAGAUUGUUAGCAUAAUUUAGAAAGUUAGGUUUGUUUCUGUUGCCUGGUAGUAACGUACACAAGUUGAAAAGCGAUCUAUUUGUGUCCGGCUAGUAGUACUAGUUAAGCUUACGUUAGGAGUUAGUAGUCCCGUUAGUCGUAAGUGUCCAGUCCGUGUCAUGCUAGGUUAGUAGUCAAAAGUACGAAAAGGAUAGUAAGUCCGUAUAGGGCAGGGUCUGGUUGGUCGGCUGGAAGCUGUGUAUAUAUAUACAUAGCCAGGUCACGAGAUUUGUAACGCCGUGUGAAGAAAAGGAGAAAAUAAAAAGAGGGAAAAGAGAGGCACGACACGUGUCUUUGGCAAAAGUUUUCGUGUGUGUGAGUUUAUCAUGAUUUGAUGUGAUCGAUCCUGAGGGUGCAGUUCCAACACGGUCAGCGGUGAGGGCGGGGGCUUGCGUUUGGACAAUGGCGGUAUAAACUGGCGCGCGGUCGGGGGCGAGGUGCACCGCGGCGACCUUCAGCCACUCCGGUCCCAGGUCUGGCUGCGGGGCAAGGCCGAGAGGACCAUGUCCAGCAGCAGUGGCCACGGCGUCAAACUCCAGCGCCGAUGCGACACGCGGGUUCUCGUGUGUAUUUCCAGCCGAAGCGAUCGAAUCGAUCAGCUUCCGUGUACGUGUGCGUCAAGCUGGUUGAAUUGAUCAGUUAGCUAGUUCAUGCAAGUGAAUUCUUCAGGCAACCAAAGCCAACUUUGGGUACGCACGUUACGUAUACGGAUAACAGCACCUGCCUGUUAGGCAUCGGGAAACGCUAGUCGAAAUGUAUGCGAUGAGUUGGGCCUAUGCCAACAGCGGCCACUGGCGCGGCAUCGUUCGUUGACACGGGCAACCUUGUGAACCUCGCCCCCGUGGAGUCGGGGUGUGAGCCCAAGAUGGUGAUCACCAGUUCACGACCUACGUCGGGCUGAACCGGUGCCAUGUCGUCGGCGUCAUCCACGAGACGGGGUCACACAAUGCCGCAUCCAUUUACUCCGCAAGAACGUUCUACUCUUCAUCGUAUCCGACAAGAUCGACGAGGCCUGACUGCAGUGCGCCGAGACGCUGCUCCGCCUGCACGGCGCUUGUGGCGAAGCACACCACUACGCAUGCAUGAAGCUUCCAAGGGCACCACGUCAUCUACAGUGAGUUGCUGCUACAGGUGCCCCAGCGCCGGCCCGGCGGUGGACAAGGAUUCAAGGAGACGCUGGACAUGUCCUCUCUCCGGACAUAGAAGGCACUGAACACGUACACAUACGGGAUAUAGGCGGAGCCAGGUGUCCACGUCAGCAAAACCACCUGUGAAAACAACUUAAGAUGGUCGGGCGGGUGUUUUGUCCGGUUUUAGAAACUUCAGGGGAUUAAAAAUCCGGUUUUAGAGUUGAGAGGGUGAUGUGGCCGAAACGUGAUACUUUAGGGGGUUAUGUAUACUUUUUUCUUCAGAAAUUAGACCAAGAUAAAUGUGGAGUUGGCGGCUCAACACUCCAUAAGGCCUUCCACAACGUAGCCGGUGCCAAAUACAUCAAAGGCAGCCACCUCAUCACCGGUGCCUAAAAUUGCUUUUCAGGCAUCGAUCUCACAGCGUAGGGCUUUGGCAGGAAAAAGAUUCUGGGACCCAUAUGAUAAACAAGUACACCACACUGCUGUGUAUUGAGCAAAGAGAGAGAAGACAUUUGCUGUUUAAAGUUGAGAGUUAAUAGUAUUUUAUUGGCUGGAGGAAUUGGGCAUCGGUGCUCCUACUUGCUCCGAUGCCAUGAAAUUUUGUUGGGGCACCGGCCUCACAACGUGAGGGCACCGACUAUCGGAGCCAGAAGUCAAUUUGGUACCUCUUUUGGCCUACAUAAUGGAAGGCCUAAGACUGUAACAGGUUGUCCCAGUGUCCCAGUCUUUAUGACUUAGAUCAAGAAAAUGUAGAACUAAAAUAUUAGUGGUUAGGAUCAUAUUUACAAUGUGGGAACUUGGUACGCUCGCUCCAACAUGCCUAGUGAAAUGUGUACUCUGAUGCACAUAUGAAAUAGGGAAAGUAGUGGCUGCACCCAUCUUCGGUGCACCCAUGCAAUAAAAUAUGGAAAAACAUUUCAAAAAAUUCUGAAACUUUCUGGGAAUGAUCAUCAACAAAUAUUAUGAGUGCUUGCAAAGUUUGAUGAUCAAAUAACAUUCGAGGAGCUCCGUACAAAAAAGAUAAAUUACAAAAUCUGGUCAAAUAGUGCACUUAUAUUUUGACUAAUUUUCAGAGAUUUUGUCUUUUUUGUACAGAACUCCUCGAAUGUUAUUAGACCACCAAACUUUGCAAUCGCCCAUAGCAUUUGUUGAAGAUCAUUCUCACAAGUUUCGGAUUUUUUUUUUGAAAUAUUUUACUAUGUUUUCUUGCGUGGGUGCACCGAGCUGGAUGUAGAAAAGCCACUCCCUACGAAAUAUGACUGGUACAAAACAAAAAAACACUGAGAUUAUACGGAUGAUUGGACGUUGUGACUAACUUGGGUGUCGCUCCGGUCAACUGAGUCAACGGACUUCCCACUAGUAGAAAAAGGAUCAAACGUGAAGCACAUUAGUGCCGGUUUGUAAAAAACCCGGCACUAAUGUGAUCAAUAGUGCCGGUUCGAAUGGCUAUGCAUUAGUGCCGGUUCGUAAUGAACCUUUAGUACCGGUUCGUGCCAUGAACCGGUACUAAAGGGGUGGUGGCAGGCUGGCGUUAGGCCAGGGCCCCACGAACCCUUUAGUGACGGUUUGUGACACAAACCGGUACUAAAGGUCUAACCUAUAGUACCGGUUUGCGUCACCAACCGGCACUACAGAGUCUUAACCUAUAGUCCCGGUUGAAGACACAAACCGGCACUAUGGGGCAAUUUUCAAACUCUACCCCCCCCCCCUAUCGCCAUUUCAGUUUUGAAAAAUCAAAAGAAAAUGAUAAAAACUUCAGAAAAUAAAAUCUUUCGAGAGGUAGUUAUAUUACUACAUCUACUAGUUAGGAAAAUUUGAAAACUUAAAUUUGAACAUGUUUUGCAAAAAGUGUAGGGAAAAUGUAAAACGGCUAUAACUUUUGCAUACGAUGUCGGAAAAAACGUAUACUAUAUUAAAAAAUUCAGCACGAAAAUCCGCAUCCGAUGGAGACCGCCUACAGCCUGUUUGGAAUUUUUUAGAGUCCUCAAAUUCCAAAAGGAAAAAAAGAUAUGGUCAAAUUUCAGUUUUUCUAAAAAAAAUUGGUUAAAUCUGGUCAAACUACUUAUUCAAGAAGUAUUAAUGUUACUACAUAAUUAUACAAGAAUAUUAGUGUUACUAAAUAAUUAUUUUAAUUUUUUGAAUUUUGGUUAAAUAUGGUCAAACUAUGGUCAAACUGUGGUCAAACUAUGGUCAAACUUAUUCAAGAAAUAUUAGUGUUACUAAAUAAUUACUGUUUUUUAGAAUAAUAGUUUCAAACUCAAACGGUGAAAUGUGUGACUUCAUGCUCAAGCUAAACUCCUGAGGGUUAAUAGGAUUAACAUCUUACUAUUGUCAGUAAAACAACAAGUGCAGACUUGGAAACGAAGGAGAAUAGAAUCCGAAAGUUAAGCGUGCUCGGGGAUUAGAGACUAAAUUAUCAAAUAAUUCAGAAAAAUUAAAAAUCGCAAAAAAAUCAAAAAAAAAUUUCAAAAUUUUCAAAAAAAAAAAUAAAAAAACCUUUAGUACCGGUUGGUAACACCAACCGGUACUAAAGGUCCCCCAUACCAGGGCGUGAGCUCACGCCAUGUGGUGGCACUUUAGCGCCGGUUCGUGCCGAACCGGUACUAAGGGGGGGGGGGCUUUAGUGCCCACACUUUAGUGCCGGUUCCAUAACCGGCACUAAAGGCCCUUACAAACCGGUUUUAAAGCUCCGUUUUCUACUAGUGUCCUAAGAGCUUUCUUCUCUGAGAUCGAAACUUCCUAAGAGCUUUUGAUUCAACCUCCACGCUAACUAACUGCUUCCCCUCCACCUGUAUAGCGGGCGCAGGAGAAACUUAGAUGAGUAUUUGAAGUGACAUCCACAUAGAGCGCAAAGCUAUUCAGCAGCUAGAAAAGCCUCAAAUGUACUCACAUCACAUCCAGAUUAAUGCAGGUUGAUUGUAAAUGGGUGUGCCCCUUAAAUUCGCGUGAAUCGAAGUGGACCGAUACCUUGUGUAGAUGGGGGAUUGGGGAGGACGGAGUGGCUGCUGACGACGUGCCCGACGGAGGAGCUCGGAGACCUUCUUGCCGAGACCAUCUGCGAGAGGAAGUAAGAACAGGGUCAGCAGCGGUGGGGCCUUGGAGGAUGUGGAGGGUGGGAGGGAGACUGGCACCGACGACGCGGACGGAUGGCGAGCGGCCCUGGCUGCCCCGGCGAGCGGCCGCGGCACAAGGAAGGGAGUGGAAGACGCAGAUUGGCAACGUGUGGGCUGGGCUUGUGACGUUGGGGUCUCAGAAAACAUAGCCCAGUUCGAAUCUAGUGGUCUCAGAAAACAUAGCCCAACAUAAAACCAGCGCUUGUGUUGGGCCUAAUCGCUAAAUCCAGGCUGUGGGCCUCCCCUUGCGCUCUCUCUCUCUCUCUCAAAAAAAAGCUAUCAUUUCCGUCAAAGAGAGAAGGGGUAGUCUAGCCUUCUCGCCGCCAAGAGAUCGAGGAACCCCGUGGUUGUUCCAUAGUUUUGAAUAGCAUGUAGAUUAGGUUUUCUUUGUUAGUUUUAUGUGUUCUUAGCGGCAAUGGCUUGAUGAUGAAGGAAAUGGCACACGGAGUGAUGAUGGUCUCUCGGCUCCAUUUCUGUUCUAAUUAGGCACUCUUUGUUAACCUUGGAGAGCUAGUGGUGUUUUGGUUCCUCAGAUUUCUAUCGCAUCAAUAUCGUUCUUUGGAAUUGGGUUGUGAGCCAACUAAAAUGGGUUUGUCCAGCGGCACGUAGGACAUAAGAGAAGAGUGUAGCACUAGGCUAAGAAGGAUAUCGAACAUAACAUAAUUGGGCGUUUUCUUUUCUUCUCACCAACCUUCCCCGCCUAGUCCAUCAUGUCUCCUUCUUGCUCAAGGUGUAUUGCGUUUCGACAAACAUAUUGUAUCCACCUCACGUCCUGGGAAAUCGCUGUCGGUGACUUUCAUCCUAUCAUGAUAACAACAUUUUCUUUCAAGAACCCGCCUUCCUUGAAUUUUAUACCAAGUAUAUAAUUGCCGAUGUCAAAACUGAUUGCAUGACCCGGUACAACUCUUCUGUACAAGAAUGAACAGUUCACAUAAAUUGCAUGACCCAGUAUCACUUUACUGUUCAAGAACACCACCUUCAGCUCCUCAUUUGCAAACUUAGGACCCAUUUGGACCACAUAAAUAUCACUAUAUGUUUGCUGCAUUUCACAUGAAACCAUGAUUUGUACAGAAAGAAUUACACUGUUUCAUCCUCGUUACUAUACAACAUUAAUUAGAUCACCAGAACCUCCCACUGCCCUUUUUUUUGGAAAAAUACACAGAAUACUAAUUGACCUUAAAGAAUAAAGGAAGCCAUAUGUUGCUGCAUGAGCAAGAAAAGUAGUCUUCAUUUCAAAAAGAAGCCGAAAGUGCUAGAGUGAAAAAUAUUAUAAGUACGGAAGCUGGAUAUCACCGGCAAGGUGGAGAAGUGGGAGAAAAAUGGUCAAAUGCGGUUAUCAAUCUUUUGAUAUGCAAGCAAGUAAGCGAGCGGGUGUUUGAACUAUCUUUAUGUGAUCAGAACAAAUCCAUGUCCAAUCAUUAGUCUUAAUAACAUCUUCACAGUACUAGGGACUCCCGCAUACUAAGAGCGCUUAAUAAUUUUAUAAUCAGGUGGAGACAUUUUUCAUUACCUGCAAAUAAUAAAUGAGUACGAAUGACGAGAUUUUAUUUCAUUUUCUUUGCAACUUAACCAUAUAUAUUCUACCAUAACUACAAGCACCAAACAUCAGAGUGCCAACAAAGUGAAGACCGAACGUUUAAACAAAACUGCUUUCAACCUCGAGUAAAAGGAAUGUUUCUCUCUCCAUGUACCACUCUCUACCGACUACUCCCUACACCAGGAAACUAUGAAGUCAGCUGUGACGAGAGAAGCUUAGAUGAGGGGCUUGGAUGUAAAUUCAUGUGGAGGAGAACGUGGUAGAGUCGAUGGUGCUGAGGACUAGUGUUGUCACUGACACAUUCAUUCAGACUUGGCACAUGACCAUAAAAUCCAUUGUAACUAAGCAGCAGCCGUGUAGGGAUGUUAUCCCAAGAGCUACCAAGCUCACUGCAGCUCUGAACUCCAGUACCAUCACUGUAGUCUCCGUGGAAUGGCAAUCCAACUUCAAGUGGACAAAGCAAGACACGACAUUGCCAGUGAUUUUCAGCUCAUUUUCCCUCCACCCCUUUGACUCUUAGGUUUUUGUUUUCCUCCAAUAUUUUAGAUGGACUGAAGUUAAAGACGUAAACAAAUCUGAACACAUACCACACUCACUUUAACAUCCUGGGGCAAUAUAUAUAUAGGACUUCUAUGCAUCUCUAAUCUAUUUAGCACUUCUUAUGAAGCAAAUAUAUCAGGAGCAUGUGAUUUAUCAUUCAAGAAUCGUUCAUCAUGACAUUUUUAGCAUGUGAGUUGACUGCAGAAUGGUGUGACCGUACCAUUCUACUUGCAUGUUUAGUUUCCCAUAUCUUGCCGAAAACGAAGUGAAGGGAAAUAUCGUGUGUGGUUGAUGGGUACUCACGUCAAAUGAAUGAGAGAUGUCCAUAAAUGAGUGAGUGGUGGAACGACAAUAGCCUUUUCAAACAAUAACCUUCAUGUAGUCAAAGAACUUAUUAUGCAUGUUACGCUAGUUUCAGUUAUACUUACUAUCACUUGGCAGGCAAAUAAAAACAUAGUUCUCCAAAACCAUUGCAUCAUGUAAGAAUUGUGUGAAAUGGAAAUUGAUAUGAUUUAAAUUUUCGGGUUCCUUUAUUGAUCAGCGUAUCAUAGCAAAGAAACCUAGAAGAAAACAUUGGAGAAAGUGAGGCAUAAAAUGGGAAAUUAUUAAUAGUAGGUGACUGUUGAUGUACAAAUGCACUCCAGUUCUGAAUAAAUAGAUGGACUUUUUCUUCUUUCUGCUCUUCAAUAUUUUCUUCUUCUGGAAGAUGCUAGCAGUCUUAACAUCAUGCUGGUCUGAGGAAAAAAAACUCUAUUUGUUACAUGAUUUUUUGUAAAUAAAAAUAGCAAAUGAGCCUACUGCAGCAGGAAUCCAGAUUCUUAUUCUGAAUAAUGUCAUGGUGAGAAACAAAAGGCUUGUUUUUGUGACAAUAAUAUAUUCAAUGAAAAGAGUACAUGAGGCCUGGGUGGAGUAAUAUAAGUUAAUUUGUCACGGAUAGGGACUCUUGGAUGUCGAAAACACCCUAGAGUUAGAGUCAUCGGGGAAAACACUUGAGAGUGCUUACCACACGGUUAUAAUUAGGAUGAGACAUCUUUUAUUACCAGCAUUGAGUUAUCUAUUUUCUUCCAACUAAAUAUCUACUCUCCAUAACUGCAGCUUCAAACAACAGAGUGCACAUAGAAUUAGAAGUAAAAGGGCCCAUGCGUAAUUCAUGCCUUUCCAAUGUUCAUAUAGAAAAUAUCCGUUCUGUCAUGGAUUUGCGCCUGCAUAAAUUAUUUAAGAAAAAUUACGAUGAUUGUGGUUGUCAAAUUGUGAUGUCCAAGUGAAUGAGAAGAAGAGAGUAAGAGGGUGAGAUGUAGAACAUAGUAGGUGAGAGUUCAGGCAAUUCUCGUUUCAUCAAUAAGUUACGGAGUAUGUGAGAUCCAUGUGCCCCUGGUAAACACACACACUCUUACAAGUGAGACCCUCGAGUCGAAAAACUCAGUGCACUAGAUGAUCUUCUUAUGGAUCACUCCUAUGUUGUCUCUUUCUAGCUGUUAGGCCCUUCGUCAUCGGUAUCCUAAUACUCCUCUGCUCCUUAUUCCCCUAGACUGGGAUCUUGUUCGCCACCAUAGCCAUGGUAGAGAGCACAGCCUGACACGGACAUUGCUCCAUUUGGCUUCCUCAAAGUUGUCGUUAUGGAUAUUGUCAUGUCUACAAGAAGCAAUCGCUUGGCAAUUUGUUGCUUCAAAAACAUCUACUGGAAUCAUAUGGGGUUAGAGGUGUUCUGGUUGCAUGGCAGGUGUUCUCCCCGAAGUUAGAUUGGUCACUGAGAUUCCUAGUUCCAGUUCCAUCAGCAUACCCUGCCAAAUGGUGAGCUCACAUCGCUGUGGUUUUAGAGCUCUUUUUCCUUUCACCUUUUUGACUCUCACAUUUUUGUGUUCCUCCAAUAUCUUAGAUGGAAUGAAGCUAAAGGCGGAAGCAAAUCUGAAUGCAUAUCAGACACUUUGACAUCCUAAUUAAGGCAGGGGUAUAUAUAAGACUUCUGCACAUCUGAAUCCCUGUUGGCUCUUCUUAUGAAACAAAUAUAUUGUGAGCAUGGGAUAUGUGUUGAGAAGGCCAUUCAGGAAUCGUUAGUCAUGAGAAUUUUAUCAUGUGAGUGGACUACAAAAUGAAAUGACCAUUCUACUUGCAUGUUUAGUUUCCAAUCUCUUUCCAGAAAAAUAUCACAUGUGAAAAAUGGUUGAAGGAAACUCACAAUUAAAGAUGUAUUGCAGUAUCUAAACGAGGGAGUGGUUGAACGUCAAAUGCAUGUGCAAACAGGCUAAACCUGAAUGAUCCAAGUAACCAACCUUCAUGUAGUUAUGCAUGUCAGAAAUUCUCAUCAUACUCCAUCACAAGACUGGGAAUUAAGAACAGACAGUUUUCCAAGCUCAUUUUUUCGAAAAGGAGGAUGACUCCCAGCCUCUGCAUCUGGGCGACGCAUGCAUCCAUUUUAUUAAUUAUUCACAAAGACCUUACCAAGUAAUACAUCAGUAAGUCUGAAACCACCAUCUUGACAACAUCUGCCGCUACUCCUAUCCAAUUGUUGAAGGGGUGCCGAUUGUCUAAGCCGAAUACCAAACAGACCUCGCACAAAAGCCUAACAUCUAAAGACGGAACCCUCAACCAAGUCGCGUUGCCGGGUCUGGGGCAGACACCGGUCCGCCGCACUCUCAGAGGCCGCUGCCGCAUUCUCCCGCCGAUCCAUCUUCAGAGCAGGUACAGACGCAUCGACCUUGACAGGCCUGCCGUUGACGCCACCAAGGUGCUAGACAACGCCUUCUCCCUACGCUCGUCCAUCAUGACACAUCCGUCGGCCGAGACCGUGCAGCACCACACCGCCGAGACUCCAUGUUGUUGAUGUGUCACAUGGAACGCCGCUCCACAGCUGGAACCAUCCACUGAUCCCUCAAGCUAUGCUCGUUGCAUCAUGAAAGAUGCAUGAAAUGGAUAGACUAAUUUUUAGCAUAUCAUAGCAAAGAAACCCGCACAAAAUGGGACAUUAUUAAUAGUAAAUAUGACUGGCGUUGUACAAAUGCACACCAGUUCCGAAUAAAAUGGCCUUUUUCUUCUUUCCGCUCUUCGGUGUUUUCUCCUCUUGAAAGGACCUAGCAGUCAAGAUCAUCAUGGAAUAAGGGAAUUAAUGACACUUACUCCAUUUGUUACAUCAAUUGCUGCAGAAACUCCUAACGGUCUUAAGAUCAUGAGUAAACUGCACCAAAAAUACACCUUCAAGGAUGGUCUAACAAAACCAGACUGUAGGACUGAUGAGUAACAAAAAAUGCUUGGCAUUGGCUUGACUAGCCUUUGGUCGGAGAAAAGAGAGCUGAUUUUCUAGACCAUGAUGCACUCGAACCUACGCUCAGCGCGGUCGGAUCCAUUUCUAUUUUCAUGGGGAUCUGUGCAAGUUAAUGUUGUGCAAACCCUAUGUGCAAGUUAAUCAUCAGCUAAAGUGAUUCUUGUGCUAGGUCUUGUUCGGGACCCAUUUCUUCAUAGCAUUAUAGUAUUAAACUGACACACAACCCUAAGCUACAGUGCCAGUCCGGUCCACCAGAAGAACACAAAGACAUAUUUUUAUCCUUUGGUGUCUCUCCUAUACUAAGCACCGUACAUUCUCAUAUCUAGAUAUAUAUUGUACUAUAUUUUCAGUCUCAAAAGUGAUAAAAAAUUGUGUGAAGACCAUGAUUUUUCUAUAAAUCGGUGCAGAUCUUUUAAAAAAAAUUGAUCAAUUGUGCAUGGGAGCUUUUACCAAAACUCCAUGAAAUAUUUACGUUUUUCAGUAGUUUUAGUAAAUGAACUUACUGCUACAAAAGCCACAAAUGUCAAUGGGUACUUCAUCGUGAAAAAACGCAAAAAUGUAAACAAUCUGAGUGUACACAGAACGAGGAACCAGGAAUAAAAUAAAGCAUUGGAGACUGUACUAGAACUCCAGGAUGUUGAAUUUUUUAACACCUACGAAUUCAAACGUAGACUGAUUAGCAUCUUAUAGGUCUCUUGAUCACUUGUGCAUGGUUCCUGAAACAAUUUAAUUAGCUCGUAUCUCGAAAAGGUUGUCAGAGGAUGUAUGGCAGUGAGUGUAGGUUCCGGUGUACCAUGGUCCCAAGCAACAUUUUCGUCGGAGAAAAAUACAGAAAAAUAUGAAGGGUAUCUGUGCCCAGUUACUGCCCACCAGUCACAUAGUCGCGCAAUCACCAUGACAUCGUUGCAAUGUGCCCACCAUCAGCGGCUAUGUAGCCAUAUCCUAUUGAACCCGAGCACGGCGACUGUUACCGGUGCACCAAAAAGCAUUACCGCGUGAGCGUAUCUGAUUGUUCGGUGGCUUAAAAAGGGGCCGAAAACAUGCUGGGCUUGGCUGCAGACUUGCGUAGCUAGCAGAGAGCAUCAAUAAUAAUAACACUGGUCUAUAAAAUAAGAUAGGUGGCUCAUUGACUGACUACAAGAGGCUGUAAAGAAACACACUGGUACCUCAGCUGAAUCAGCUAGCACCAAAAAUAACCAAAGGACACAGAAUCUUCUUACAUAAUACUAUUCCCUCUGUUCCAUAAUCGUAGUACUCGGCCGCCCAGUGAAGUGUUACUUACUCUGACAACUUUGCCACCGAACCAAAGUUCAAGGCCAAUGUCUUCUCAACCAAAUAAUGACGCUGAAACCAGAUAAAUACAUGGAUAGAUUACAAGUGUGAGUAUAGAUCCCAGUUUCUGCUUAGCAUGGGGAAAUGUUGAAGCAAAAAACUGGAGCAGAAACUAAAAGUGCAAUUCAUUCCUCCGCAGACAGACUCACAGUUAUCAGCAGCAGAGCACUGCAAUUGGCUCUCUUCUCUCGUAGGGCCAUCUCAUUCAACAAGCGCAGCUCCAACAUGAUCUUUCUUUGUUCUCCCCUCGUCAACAAAAGAGGCGAGGAUGGUCAUGACCAUGAUCUUGGUCUCCAGCAUCAUUGCAAGGUCAUAUGGUGGCAUAGACAUGAGCUGUGGCUGCAGUAGAGGGCCUCAAUGCCUGAUGGACUCAGUACCACUCAAGACAAACAUUGGUAGAUGAUUAAGCCGGAGACGAUACAUGUAUAUUUGUUUUCCUCCAAUAUUUCAGAUAGGCUGCAGCUGGAUAAAGAGAGAAGCAUAUCUGGAAACAUAUCACAUUCACUUUGACAUCCUAAGACGGUGGAGUAUAUAUAGGAUUUCUAUACACAUCUUUUUUGUAAGCUUUUUCUAGCAAAUAAAUAAAUAAAUUGUGAGCAUGGGAUAUGUCUUCACUCAAGUACUGUUUAUCAUGUUUUUUGAGUCAUCUACAUCCUAAUUGCAUGUUUCGCUUAUGAUUCCUUGCCGGAAACAAAUCGAUGGGAAAUAACAUGUUUUGUUGAAGCCAACUCACAUGAAAGGAAUGGCAGCAAGUUUGAAUGAGUCUCCCGUUCAAGGGAAAUUGCAUUGCAAACAGAUAUGUCUUGAAUUAUCCACGGUAACCAACUUAGAAGUGUAGAAGAACCGGAUAUGCAUGCUAUUCUAGUUCCGCUCAUAUGUACCAUCACUCCAUGUCCGUUGCAUCAUGAAAGAUGACUGAAAUGCGGGAACCGACUCAUUUUAGCUAUGUUUUCAGCUCCCUUUUGAGGACAGCGUAUCAUCCGCAUGAUAUGUAUGAAGAAAUGUAUGCCAAAGCUGUUUAUCAUUUCUUUAUCACGUAAUUUGAUACGGGCGAAACCAUUCCUUUUAGUCUUGUAACUAUACUGCAGAAUCAGAUUAUAUGACCAUUCUACUUGCAUGUUCUGUUUUGGGGAACAACAAACAGUGAGCAUGGGGCAUGUGUUGAUAAAGCAAUUCAAGAACUGUUUAUCAUGUCUUUUGAUCAUGUGACUGGACUGCAGAAUCAUCCGUUACUAUCCUACUUGUGUGCUUAGUUAAUGAUCCCUUGCAAGAAACAAAGUGAAGGCAAGUAUUGUGUUUGCUUGAAGGGAACUUGGUCGAUUAAAAGAAUGGCAAGAAGUUUCUUAACAGCAAGUAGUCGAAAGACUAUCACAUAUGAAAAUGGGUUAGUCUUGUUAUGAUCCACCAUACUAACUCCACGUAGUAGAUGAAUUUAUAUGCAUGUUAUGCGAGUUUUGUUUGUAAUUAAGUACCGUCACUUGACUAGGAAGCAAUAACAGAUAAUACUCCAAGUACAUUUGCGUCAACCCAUGUGCUAAUUAAGGUAGCAAACACACAAGCAUGGACAUGCUGAAAUAGCAACAGUAAGCAUAACAUGUAACAAGAUCUAAAAUAAACUAUCUGGGGUAAAAAAAUAAAAUACUAAAUAACAUCAUAAUCAAGCAUGCAUGUACCGAGACAAGUCAUAUAGGAGUAGCUUGUACACAUGAGGCAUAGGGCUGAGAUUAGCCUACUGUAAGAGCAAGAGCAUACUUAGAGCAUCUCCAACAGGCGCGCAAACGCAUGGCGCGCUAAAACCUUUUUACAACGCGGAAAUAGCGGUCUUUUGCGCAUGGCAGGAUGCUGGCUCCAGCGGCCACUGUAAAUAUGGCGCGCGCAAGCAGCUCCAGCAAGCGCGCUAAACUUACCGCGCGUGCGAGCAGUCGACGCUUGCAAAUAAGAUUUCACAUGUACAUUUUGAUAAUAUGAUGAUGUUUCAAACAUUAAACAACUAUACAAAAUAAAGACAUAGCAAAGUUCAAUUGCACGGCACAUCAACAAUCAUGCCACAUCAUCAUCCAACCAAGAUCAAAAUCACCCUACCAAAUUCAUGAAACAUAAGUUCACACAAACAAAUGGCACAUCAACAAUCAUGCCACAUCAUCAUCGUCCUCCUCUUCUUCCGAUUCUUUGUCCUUAUCCGAAGAUGAUUCUUCCUCCUCCUCUUCAUCAUUGUCAUGCGCCGCAUCUCCCCGGGCUAGGGUUUGCGCCACCGGCGGUGGCAGCGGCGACGGAGGGGUCACAGGUGUAGGGAGGGGUUGGGGGAAUGUCAGCGCGGCUGCCCAUCGGGCGAAUUCGCCGGCGGCGGCAAGGGUGGGGCGACUAGAGAGGUUGGCGGCGGUGCGGCACGGCGCUCGAGUGUGCAUCGGGCGGGAGCGGGCGCACGAGAUUAGUGGCGGGGGAUGCCGUUUCGCUGCGCGUGCCGAACAUUUUAUAUCGCGCGUGUAUUGCGCGUCCGCUGGAGCACCCAGAACGACUGCACGCGCGCAAAAAAGUCAAUUUUUCGAUCGCGGCGCUAAUAUCGUGCGCCUGUUGGAGAUGCUCUUAUAAAAUUAGCACAAACGUCAAGCAGCAUGGUUAAAGAGCUAAUCAAGUUAGCAAUCAACCACUAGCAGCAUUCGACAAGGUAAUCACGUGCAAACAAGAAAAAGGCUUCUAUCUUAACUGUGAAAAGAAGGAGGCCCCAAAUUAUGGAAUACAGACAGUUUCUCGUCCGAGCUAGCUAGGUAAAUCAUCUUCAGAGGAAAUGUGGUGCAGGUUAUUGAGAUGGAGCAUCAAGAAGAUACAUAACACAAUGAGCAGACACCCGGCCUCUGCAUAAUAAGGAUGCAUACAACCAACAUCAACCCACACAUAUGCGAAAUCUCGCCGGCAACAAGCAAAGACAUAUAAGACCAAAGCUAUGAAUAGGCGAGGAGAAAAACAAAGCAAUCAGAUCUAGGAUCGACAAAAUAGAACAGAGACCAUAUCCGCACCACUCAUCUGACAACACCACGUUCACGACCAGGUUCUUCAACAACAACGAUCACAUCAAAUACGAGGAACACACGCACGCAAAAACUUUUGCCAAAGGGCCCUUGUCAUGCCCUCUUUUCUCCACUUAAUUGCUUUUCUCCUUUUUCUCAGGUUACAAUAAACUCACGGAAUAGUUGUGCAUAUAUAUAUAUGCACCAACCGACCCAGGACCUCAAACCGACUUGUACUUGUUCUGCAAUCCGAACCGAACACGACUAGUACUUUUACUAAAACAUAAACUAAGCCACGUUGCCUCUAUUGAAAAAGGCUUUCGCCCCGCUUUAUAAAUAAAGCAAACCGUCAUAGAUCAUACAUACAAGGACUAAUCCACACACACACUCAAGUCUCACAACAAGGUACAAAGGUUUUGCUGAGGGCACAACUCAACAAGCCCAGAAAUAAAAACCAGAAAAAGCCGGAUGAAGAAAGCGCCUAGUAUGGUUCCGGCGGGGGCGGCGGGGGUGGGGGUGGCGGACGGACAGCCAUCGAGCGGAGGUCGGCGAUGAAGGCGGAGAUGGCGUUGAUAACCCGCAAGUAUACGGGGUAGUUGUAGCCUCUUUCGAUAAGUAAGAGUGUCGAACCCAACGAGGACCUAAAGGUAGAACAAAUACUCUCUCAAGUCCUAUCGGCCACUGAUACGACUCUACGCACGCUUGACGUUUGCUUUACCUAUAACAAGUAUGAAACUAGAAGUACUUUGUAGGUGUGCUAGGAUAGGUUUGCAAGAUAAUAAAGAACACAUAAACAAAAAAUAGGGGUUGUUUAGACAAACAUGCAGUAAAGUAAAUAUAGCGAGUGUGAAAAAGUGGUGGUAGGAGUUGGGAAAUUGCCCCUAAGCAAUUGACUAUAUUACUAGACCGGUAAUCACUAUGGCAAUUCUAUUUGAGGGAGAGGCAUAAGCUAACAUACUUUCACUACUUGGAUCAUAUGCACUUACGAUUGGAGCUCCAGCAAGCAUCCGCAACUACUAAAGAUUCAUUAAGGUAAAACCCAACCAUAGCAUUAAAGUAUCAAGUCCCCUUUAUCCCAUACGCAACAAUCCCCUUACUCGGGUUUGUGUUUCAGUCACUCACGCAACCCACUAUAAGCGAAUCAUGAACGUAUUGCAACACCCUACAAUGGGAAUCCAUCACGCUUGCGCGACACGGAGGGCACAAUAGGACAGCAACAUAACCACAAGCAAAUUAAACCAAUCAUAGCAAUUCAUCAAUCACCGAUAGGACAAUGAAAAUCUACUCAGACAUCAUAGAAUGGCAACACAUCAUUGGAUAAUAAUAUGAAGCAUAAAGCACCAUGUUCAAGUAGAGAGUACAUUGGGUUGUGGGAGAGUAGACCGCUGAAUAUAGAAGGGGGAAGGUGAUGGAGAUGUUGGUGAAAAUGACGGAGGUUUUGGUGUAGAUUGCGGUGAUGAUGAUGGCCCCCGGCGGCGUUCUGGCGCCACCAGAAGCGAGGGGGACAGAGCCCCCCCCCCCCAUUCUUCUUCUUCUUCUUCCUUAACAUUCUCCCUAGAUGGGAGAAGGUUUUCCCCUAUGGUGCAUGGCCUCCAUGGCGUGGGAGGGGCGAGAGACCCUCCGAGAUUGGAUCUGUCUCUCUGUCUCUCUCUGUUUCUGCGUUCCUGAUUCUGCCCUUUCACCGUUUUUUUAUAUUCCUAGAGAUCCGUAACUCCGAUUGGGUUGUCCUUUGGACAUGAUUUAUAUCCAGCUAUGGGCUUUCUUGCAGUGAAAUAAGGGCACCAACCGCCCUACGGGGAGGCCACGAGGGUCAGGGGCGCGCCCACCCCCUGGGGCGCUCCCCCUUGCCUCAUGGGCCACUCGAGCAUCGUCUCGCGUUGAUUCUUCUUCCCAAAAAUCAUAAAUAUCCCAAAGAAAAACUCCUUCCGUUUGGACUCCGUUUGAUAUGGGGUUUAUGCGAAACAAAAAACAUGCAACAAACAGGAACUGACACUAGGCACUGGAACAAUAUGUUAGUCCCAAAAAUAGUAUAAAAAGUUUCCAAAAGUAUAUGAAAGUUGUAGAAUAUUGGCAUGGAACAAUAAAAAUUUAUAGAUACUAUGGAGACGUAUCAGUCGUCUGAUUCCUCGACUCUGAUGCACUCACAUCAUUUUGGGUCUUUUGGAGCGUGAUCUGCGCCUAGUCGAUUAUGGAGUAACCGGGUGGAGACGGACGAUCUAGUGGAACUCAAGUUACGACCGGUGUUGAUUUCUGAUAGUGUGUCACCGACGAUACCUGCAUCUCUGGGGACGGACUCCAGGAUGAUAGUGUCUCCGAGACCUGCAGUGGGGGUGAUCGUAGGAACUCCCCCAACUUCUGGCGCCAACCCGGACGGAGAGAGGAGGAUCGCUCAGAUGCCAUACCCGNNNNNNNNNNNNNNNNNNNNNNNNNNNNNNNNNNNNNNNNNNNNNNNNNNNNNNNNNNNNNNNNNNNNNNNNNNNNNNNNNNNNNNNNNNNNNNNNNNNNNNNNNNNNNNNNNNNNNNNNNNNNNNNNNNNNNNNNNNNNNNNNNNNNNNNNNNNNNNNNNNNNNNNNNNNNNNNNNNNNNNNNNNNNNNNNNNNNNNNNNNNNNNNNNNNNNNNNNNNNNNNNNNNNNNNNNNNNNNNNNNNNNNNNNNNNNNNNNNNNNNNNNNNNNNNNNNNNNNNNNNNNNNNNNNNNNNCGUUACCAGCCCACCCAUGGAGGUCCCAAGACACUUUCGGGAGGGGGGCGGGCAGGAGGCCCGUAGAUCCCUCUCACCGCGGGGCAGCUCAGAGCGGUUUGGACAGGGGCAUGGGCAAGAGGCCCGCAUCCCCCUCUUCCCCUGACGACCUCUCGCCCGGCUGACUGUUUGGAAGGGAGAGAGACUGUAGAGCAGGUGGCUCCAUGAUCUCGCUCUCCCGUUGCUACCACGGCUGGCUCCCCCCUCUUGACCGUGCCCUACCUCUCUCCGGCUUCAAGGGAUGGGCGUGCGAGCGGGGAGCAGAUGCCUCGGGAGAGGACUACUAAGGAGCUUAUUGUUUUUGGUGGGAUCUCGGAUCUGGUGACGGCUGGCAGGCGUAUCAGCAUCCGGAUCCAGGGACAACCAUGGGGCACGCCAUGAGGGCGGCCAAGCUUCGAGAGGUCGAGGAAACUACAUGUACUUCUUUUAAUAAGAGUAGUUCAAUUUUGCAUUUUACUGAGCGUGAAAUUAUUAAUGAGGCAAACGACUUAGGUAUAUCCUUGGGUUCGAAUGAGAAAGAGGUUGCGAAAUCCGUAAAUGACCUUUUAGAUUUAGAAGCGGAGAGGGCUUAUGAAAUUAUCCGGAAUCAAGCAGCAGUCAGACCUAUGAAUGACGAGGAAAUGAAAAAUCUAGGAAUUGCCGCUCUUGAAAACAUAAGCAAUAAUCUUUUGUCUAAUGCGCAUGCCGAAGAUGAGGAGGGGCCGAGGAUUGCGGACAUUGUAGAACCUUUAAUGAUAGAAGGUAAUGUCUUGCAGUCUGCCGAUCAUACCCUCCCGCAGGGUGAUGGGGAGAAGCCCAAGAGACCCUGGAAGCAGAAAAUAUAUCCUACUUCCGCAGUUCGUAGAAGUGCUAGGGUUAAGCCGAAGAAAAAAAUCCAUGAUGAUCUAUGAAAGGAAUCUUUUGGAAUAGCAUAGGUCUAAAGACUUGGCUAAAAUAAGGUUUUUGGCGGAGACAACGAUUGAGCAAAAAUUAGAUUUCAUUGCUCUAGUAGAAACAGGGCAGGAUAAUUUCACCUCACAGUUCCUUGGAACUCUAUCUGGAGGUACUGAUUUUGAUUGGCACCGCCUACCACCUAGAGGAAGAUCCGGUGGGAUUUUGCUAGGGGUGCGGUGUGAGACACUUGAGGUAAUUAAUGUGGUAUGAGGGGACUUGGCGGUCAAGUUUCAGGUGAGAUCGAAAUUGUAUGGGUUCUGAUGGCCUCUUGUCGCUGUAUAUGGGGCAGCAUAACCCGAACUCAAACUAGAUGUUUUAGCUGACUUGGUGCGGAUCUGUGGGGACGAGACUCUGCCAAUCUUAGUCGGAGGAGAUUUUAACAUAAUUCAGAGGAGAGAUGAAAAGAACAAUGACAACUAUGAUGGUUGUUGGUCUAUGAUGUUCAACAUGAUUAUUGAGAGUCUUAGUUUGAGAGAAAUUGAGCUCACCGGUAGAUAAUAUACAUGGGCCAACACGUUACUCGAUCCAACAUAUGAGAAGUUGGAUAGGGUGCUCGUAGUGUGGAAUGGGAACAAAAGUACCCAUUAGUGUUGGUGCAUGCGAUGAAGAGGACGAUCUCAGACCACACACCAUUAUUAGUGGACUCGGGAGAAGCUACUCAUAUUGCGAACAAGAACGCUUUCUCUUUCGAACUAGGAUGGUUCAAGAAAGAAAACUUCUUGGAAAUCAUCACACGCGAAUGGGCAAAGCCUGUGAAUGGAUGAUCAAGUGUUGAGAGAUGGAAAAAUAAAAUCAGACAUCUCAGACAAUUCUUACGAGGUUGGUCCAGAAACGAGAGUGGGAUUUAUGGACAAGAAAAAGAACUACUCACCCAAUUGAUUGAUGCUCUAGAUUUAAAAGCAGAAGUCAACCUUCUUAUGGUUGAUGAGCAGAGCUCCAAAUUCGAAGCCAAACAACGCCUUACAAGCUCUUCUUAGAGCAGAGGAGCUGAAGUGGGCAUUGCGUGCUAAGGUUCUCAAGGUUAUCCGAGGGGAUGACAAUAUACAAUUCUUUCAUAUGAUUGCCAAUGGCAAACAUAGGAUGAAGAAAAUAAUACAGCUAGAGAAGGACGAAGGGACAAUUGUGGGGCAUUAGAAUUUGAAAGCGUAUAUCUCUAAUUAGUAUAAAGAACUUUUUGGGGCUCCGGAAGCGAGCACGGUGUCCCUUAAUGAAACUAUUAUUGGAGAUAUACCUCAGCUUCGGGUCGAGGAGAAUGAUAUUUUAUCUGCACCAUUUACUGAGAAAGAGGUUUUGGAUGCCAUUUCACAAAUAAACCUAAUAAAGCACCGGGACCAGACGGAUUUCCAGCGGAAUUCUAUAAGAAGUGUUGGCAUAUUAUUAAGGAUGAUCUUAUGCCUAUGUUUCAUGAUUUUUUAACGGUCAUUUAGAACUCUUUCAUCUUAACUUUGGCAUGAUUACGUUAUUACCAAAGAAGGAAGAGGCAGUUCGGAUCGAGCAAUUCAGACCAGUAUGUCUUCUUAACGUGAGCUUCAAAAUAUUCACGUAGGCACCAAUCGAUUGACACAGAUUGCUCAUUCGCUGGUGCAACCGAGCCAGACAGCUUUCAUGCCUGGAUGACACAUUCUUGAAGGGGUUGUCGUCCUGCAUGAAACGCUGCAUGAAAUUCAUUCGAGGAAGCUAGAUGGGGUUAUCUUCAAAGUGGAUUUUGAGAAGGCAUAUGAUAAAUUUAAAUGGCCUUUCCUUCAGCGGGCAAAGCGCAUGAAAGGAUUUAGUGAGGCUUGGUGGAACCAAGUGGGUUCUCAAGUCCAGAAGGGUAGUGUCGGAAUCAAGGUUAACGAUGACAUCGGCCACUAUUUCAAACACACAAGGGAUUGAGACAAGUGGAUUCAAUGUCUCCCUCCUAUUUAGUAUAGUGGCUGAUAUGUUGACCAUUCUUAUAGGCAGGGCCAAGCAUCACGGUCAAGUGGAAGGACUAGUCCCUCAUCUGGUUGAUGGGGGAGUCUCCAUUUUACAAUACGCUGACAACACUAUCCUCUUUAUGGAUCAUGAGAUUGCAAAAGCGCGCAAUAUGAAGCUCAUCUUAUGUCUCUUCGAACAAUUCUCUGGAUUAAAAAUAAACUUUCACAAGAGCGAGUUGUUCUUCUUUGGAAAGGCUAAAGAAGAACAGGACGCUUAUAGACAAUUGUUUGGAUGUAAAUUAGGUUCUUUGCCUUUCGGUUAUUUGGGCAUACCGAUUCAUCACCGUAAGCUAUCAAAUAAAGAAUGGAAGUGCAUCAAAGAUAGAAUUAAAAAAAAGCUUAGUUGCUGGAAGAGCAAUAUAAUGUCGUAUGGAGGUCGGCUAGUGCUAAUUAACUCAGUACUUAAUAGUAUGCUGAUGUGCCUACUAUCUUUCUUCGAGGUGCCGAAAGGGGUGCGGAAAAGACUUGAUUUCUUUAGAUCUCAUUUCUUCUGGCAGUCGGAUGAGGCCAAGAAGAAAUACCAUCUUGCACGAUGGGAUAUUCUUUGCCGAACCAAGGAUUAGGGAGGUCUUGGAAUUGAGAACUUGGAAAUUAAGAAUAAAUGUUUUAUGAGCAAAUGGUUGUACAGAUUAGAGACUGAACCGGAAGGUAUGUGGGCACAGCUUUUAUGUAAUAAGUAUUUACAGUCGAAAAAGCUCGCCUAGGUCACCGUGAGACCAACUGAGUCACCAUUCUGGAAGGGACUCAUGCGAACGAAAGACUUGUUCUUUCGUAGGGUAAAAUUCUUGAUCGGCAAUGGGAUGACAACAAGAUUCCGGGAAGAUACGUGGUUAGGAGAGACACCCCUAGCCGUACAAUACCCCACCCUGUAUAACAUCGUGCAACAUAAGCAGGAUUACGUUGGAACAGUAUUUGAAACGACUCCCUUAAACAUUCAGUUUAGAUGUGCGUUAGUUGAUGAAUGAUGGAACUGCCUGGAUGCAUUUGGUCCGGAGAUUGAUAGAUGUUCAAUUAUCCGCCCAAACAGAUUCGACACGCUGGAAGUUAGCUAGAAAUGGGGUGUUUACGGUGAAAUCUUUCUAUAUGGACUUGAUAAAUUCUGGCCCAAUCUUGAGAUUGUUACAUAUUUGGAAGUUUAAGGUUCCCUUGCGUAUUAAGAUCUUUAUGUGGUUCGUCCACAGGCAAGUGAUCCUCACUAAAGAUAACUUACUUAAGAGGAGGUUGGUAGGUAGUUCGCAUUGUUGUUUUUGUGAUCAUGAUGAAACAAUACAACACUUAUUCAUAGAGUGGCCAGUCGCCAAGCUGCUUUGGAGAAUGAUCCAUAUAGCCUUUAACAUUACUUAUCCAGUUGAUAUUGAAUCAUUGUUUGGAACGUGGUUAGCUGUGUUGAUAACAUUACUGUGGCUCGUAUUCAGAUUGGAAUAUGUGCGCUCAUGUGGGCUAUAUGGAAUUGCAGGAAUGACAUGAUUUUUAACAGACAACAUACUUUAACUUUCUUGCAGGUCAUCUUCAGAGCAUACGCAUGGAUCUGUAUGUGGUCCUUACUCACUCCUACGGACAUCAGGGAGCCUUUGGUUACUAGGUGCAACCAGUGGGAGAUGGUAGCGCGGGCUAUAUUCAACCCGUUUAGAUGGCGGUUGUAUAACAGGAUCGGAGUCUAGGGAGCUUGCCCUUGGCAUUGUCAUACCGAUUGCGAUUUUGAGCAUAUAAUUUUAAUUUUUUUUCUUUGCUCCGCUUGCGAGCUGUAAUACUUAUUUGUUUUUGUGGUACUCUGAGACCUUUUAAUAAGAUGGCUGCAUGCAUCGUCGUGAUGCAGAGGCCGGGGGCAUGCCUCCAUUUCCAAAAAAAAAGACAUUGUUGUAUAUAGGAUUUCUAUACAUCUAUAGUCUUUGUUAUCUCUUCUUAUGGACAAAACGUUGUGAUCACUGGGUAUGUGUUGAGAAAGUCAUUUGGGAAUUGAUUAUCAUGUAUUACUAAAGAUCAUGUAUGACUAAAGCAUACUCUCAUUUGAUGAUAUAACUUCAAAUAUGUCUUAUUUGUUCUGUACCAUGUUUAGAAAUACAUAUCAAAACUGAUGCCAAAAAGUGAAUGUAGUUCCAAAGUAAUAAAGCGAUCUCAGGUUGCUCCGAAAACCAUCAUUCAUCUAGUAUCAUUUUUUACUGUCUCGUUUUUGACUAGCGGACAUACUUUACAAGUGAACGUAGUACCAAAGAAAUAAAACUGUGUAGCGCACAUUGCCGUCAAUUGCUAGACAAAGCUACAGAGACGAUUUUGUACAAAAUUUGUAAAACUUAAAAUUGCUUGACUUGAGACAAAGUAGAAACUCAAUUAAUUUGGAAUGGAGAGAGUAUCACCCGAAAUUAUACAACAAAUGAGGAAAAGAGAAUCCUAGAUGGUACAGUGAAGUAAUUAAAGCCUCUUCAUCUUAUAUGAGCCGAACAACAUAGCUUGCUCUACAAAAAGCAAUAUGUCAAUCGAAGUUGUCUUAAUUUUACAACCUCUACUAAUGACAUUAUUAGUAUGAUUAGAACGAGUAGGCUAUCUUCAAACCUCUGACCAUCACCUCUCCGGCCUCCAUUGGGUGUCCAGAAGCUAGGAAGAAGAGUCGAGUAUAGAUGGAGAGCUGUCUCUAGAUGAAUAAAGGACCAAAAAUUUGCUCAUAUCUUAACUUACCGAGAUCAUCGAUUUCACUGAAAAAACAUGGUCGAUGCAUAAAUAUAGUGCAUAUUGGUUUUCUUAUUCACCCUGGGGUUGGGGCGGACUAUUUACAUGUUGCCUGGAAAACAAUUAUGGAAAUGGACAGACGGAUCAUCAUCUUCUUCCUCCAAUCAUAUCCUUCUCACGAAUUGUUUACUUUCUUCCUCGUAUUAGACUGACGUGAUGGCCCACUGCCUCUCCUCUAGUCAUCUCCUUCAACGACAUCCUAUCCGAGCCCUCGUUGGUGACGCCAUGACAAUAGAAAAAAGCCCCCCCCUCCCCCGGACCACCGCCCGCACACACAUGUGAAGCCUCUCGUCUCCGCUUGCGGCGGCGGCGGCGCUGCUGCCAGCCGCAUCGCCACCGGUUCCAGUUUGCUCCCAGCUCAGUCUCACUGGCAGUUGCCGCAUGACACCGUCUCAGCCUCGGAACUCCACCUUGCCUCCCUUUGUUCUCCCCUAAAAUUAAUUUACACACGCUCGUUUUUCAGGUAACCUACCAAUAGAAAAUGCACAUGGGGUCAAACAUUGCAUUCAUUUUCCUCCUGUACAUGAAAGGCUUAGCUUCGAAUUUCUCCAUACAUGGUUAAACCAGCUGUUCAAUGCUAGAAGGGGUGAUCAUCUAAGCCUUCAGUCCUACUAGUGUUUAAAUACUAUAGCCUGACAAGGAGCUAUUCUGACCUCAUGCAUGCAUGCGAAGGCCAACAGGUAUAUGUUGUAGCUUAUCCAAUGAUGCAAAACCUACAUGUUUGUACGACAGAAUAUUUAGAAAUAUUCUAUAUUAACUGGAGUACCGAUUGCUUUGAAUACAGCCAAAUAUAAUGUCAAUAACAAAAGAUGGAGAUAAGGACUCCCUUAUAAAACUGGUCGGAGUAGUUCAUUUCUAAAAUAUGUGUGAAGACGAGAGGCUUAGUCAUUUUAUAACUUUUGUUUGACGUGCCUUGAAAGAAUCGUAUUGUUGUGCACUACUGUAAUGGAAAGGAAAAUCUAUCCCGUGGAAUAGAAUCGUGUUGAGAGCCAGCACGACGUGCCUGUCCUUGUGGUUGUCAGGAAUUAUCUUGGACGGCUCGUGCAAAACGUUCAGUCGGCAGCUCGGCAAAAGCAGCAAUGUCAAGGCCUAUGCCCGUGCCUCCAGCUGGUGACACCGUCGGGACUGCGUGAUCUCCUGAUUUGUUUCAAUCGAUUAAUUAGCAACUAUACCUUAUCUUAGCAUAUUUUUGCAUAUAAUUAUCAAACUUAAAGUAGUUUGACUCGGGACAAACCUAGAUAAUUAAUUCAUAAUGGGGAGUAGGACCCACAAUUCUCUAGUAAAUGGGAAAACAUAAAGACCUUUUUUCCAUUAAGAAAAGAAGGAUAGCUCGUCCUAGAUAAGGCACUAAGUCAAUCGUCGUUGUCUUAAUUUUAGAAUCUCUAUUGAUGCUAUCUCCAUUUCGGUUAGGACGAGAAGGUUGUCCUCGAACCUCCUACCAUCAACUCAUCCAAGCUAUUUUGUUGGAGCCAAAGCACAGCGCAGGACACUGACUUCAUUUAUCAGGAGAUUGUUUGCACGACCUCCAUCGGUGUGUGUAAUGUAGCAUGUAACCCAGAGCUAGGAGACGACGUAUAAUGUAUUGUCCAUAAGACCAGAACCGCCAGAAGGCUUGAUCAUUUAGGACAAAAAAUAUUGUAGCUCGGACCUGCUAUGGUUUUUAAAUAAUACAGUGUGCCUAUGACAAGGCCAGCAUGUAUAUGCUCUAGCUUAUCCCACUAUGCCAAACUAUAUAUUAUUAUGACAGAACCACAAAUCAUUUAGAAAGAUUCUAUAUUAACUGGAGUGCCACUUGCUUUGAAUACCGCCAAAUAUAGUUUCAAUAAAAGGAGAUGGGGACACAAACUGCCUUUCCCUUAAAAGAAUGGUUGAAGUAGUUCGUUUGUGAAGUAUAUGUGAGAAGACCAGAGGCUUAGUUAGUCAUUUUAUUCUGUUUUUUAUGCGCCUUGCAAGAAGUAUAGUGGGUUAUAACUUAUACUUCUGUUUUUUUUUCUUUUUUAUAUCUGAUUGGUUAUCUCCAGCAUAUAUUCACAUGAAGGGGCCACUUACUAUAAAUUUCAUUGAAGUUUCUUCAUGUGAGUUGAGUUGCUACCAUUUAUAUACUACAAUCGAAACUAUGAAAGAACAAAUAAUAAUUUCGGGAAUGCUUGGCGGAAAUGAAUUUAUCUUCAUGCAAGGUGGAUGAUUGCCUAGGGUGGAGCCCGUAUAUCUGCAUUCAUGCUUAGGGUUGGCGAUUCACAAUGGCGGAGAACUUGCACUAGUUAGGCAUGUUGUCAUUAGUUCCAUAUUUCUAGUGAAUGCAGUGGUGGGUGUAGCGCCAUUAGUAAAAGCUAGAACUGAUAAGGCCGCGCUCAUUGACGUUCAUUGGAACAAGAUUGGGUUUUUCCGUGAAGUAGAUGACGAGAGUCGUUGCCUCGAUGAACAUAUCGAGGAUGUGUUUGAGGCGGGCAGCUGUAACGGAAUUCCGACGAAUAAUUAUGAGUGUGUCGUCGGCAUACCGAAGCACACUGGUAACCACCUGGAAGAGGUAGGUGGAGAUGAGGUCCCUCUGUUGCGGCCACUCUUCUAGUGAAUCCACUUCCCUGGGAUCGUGUUGAGGACAACGGCGGAUCGCGUGGUUGGUAAGAUAGCAUCCAUCAACCCAAACCAUCUGGGUGGGAACACAUGAGCCUUGAGGAUUUGCCGAAUACUUGACCAAUUGAUGCAGUCAGGUGCCUUGGCAAAGUCGAGCUUGAUCACAAGCGUGGUUUUGGUGUGCUUGUGGGAGGACUAGAGUCACAUGGCCUAGACGAAGUUUCCCGAGAUGAUGGAGUCCGUGAUGAACCCUGACCGGUUAGGAUCAAUAAUUUCCCAAAUUUGUCACUGCAGCCUAGGGUUGUGAUGAUACCCUUGCAUAGAUCUUUAUGCUACAAUUUUGCAAGAAAACCAAACGGUAGGAGCCUAGAGCAAGGAUCUUCUCCUUUUCUAGGAGCAACACGAUGAGCACACAGUUGAUGCUGCCUAGAUCGAUGUCACUUUUAUGGAACACAUGGAAGAGGCGCUUGAUGUCGGGGGAGACGGAGGCCCAGGCGACCAGUAGAAGAUGAGGUCGAGACUACCAGGGCUUCCAUUAACUUUUUCGCGUGAGUUGUGCUGCUACCAUUUCAUCUACUAUCGUCACACUGUAAAGCACAAAAUAUCGAAGUUGUUGAUUGCUUGGCAGCAACACAAUAAUCCUCAUGGCAGAGGAGUUCAUAACAUGAUGGGACCCUUCAAUUCACGGGGACAUGUCAUGUCUUAAAAAAUAGUUGGACUAGCUAGAUUCAUACAUAUAUGUGAAGACAACAAGCUUAGUCAUUAUAAUAUUUCUGUUUGGCCGGCCUUGCAAGACAUAUAGUUUUGUUUUGUUAUAUCUGAUAGAUUAUCUAGAGCAUAUACUCAAAUGAACUAGCCACUUGCUAUGAUUUUGGAUCAAAAUUUUCCUGUAGUUGCAUUGUUACUAUUUCUUCUACUACUGCUCACACUAUGAAGCACAAUAUACUAAAAUGACUAAUUGCUUGGCACUAGCACGAUUAUCCUCAUGGUAUGGGAGUGGUUAACAAGAUGGACGGCUAAAUCGACGAGGACAUGGAAUGCCAUAAAUGUUUCAUUGGAGUAGUUGAAUUCACAAAUAAGAACACAAGUGUAGUCAUUCUAUUCCUUUUGUUUGACAGGCCUUACAAGAAACAUUUAGUUUUGUAUUUGUUGCAUCAAAUAUAGUACCAGUGCGUAUACUCAAAUUAAUGAGCUUGUUGAUACGUAUGAUUUUCAAUUAAAUUUGUUUUUGUGAGUCGUGUUGCUACCAUCUCCCUUAUACAACUAUUGACACUAUGUAUGACAAAAUGCUAAAUGGCUAUUUGCUUCGCAAUGGUGCAGUUAUUAUUACAUUAGAGAAAUGACCAAUAGGAUGGAGCUCCGAGAUCUAUUAGGACGACCUGGCCUUCCUUAAAGGAACGGAGGAGUAGUUCAAUCACAAUGUAUAUGUGAAGACCAUGGGCUUAGUCAAUUAAUUCUUCUUGUUUGACUGACCUUGCAUGAAACAUAAUAGUUUAAUAAAUGAUCCACUUGCUAUGAUUUUCAGUUAAAUUUUUUCAUCUAAGUCGAGCGUCACGACCACUCAGUCAAAUGGGUCAGUCUUGUUGCCGCAUAUACAAGCAAAAGCACGUGUGCAAGUUAUGGACAUGGUGUGAGGCCAACUAAGCCAUAGUUUUCUCACUUAUAUAAGAUGUGGAUCAUAAAUAUAAGGUAUAAGAUCCAAUACACUCAAUCAAACAUUACAAUAAAGGUUGAACAACGGAAACAUGGAUAAUCAGCUCAUACACUUUAAUCCAUGCAUUAUUUUAUAUAAAAUAAAAUAGGUGAAUCUUCACACUCGCAACACUGAUAGACAUCAAUAUGCUCACCAUUUUUAUAGAUAUUAUUAAUGUUCCAUGAGUAGUGCCUUUUCAUCGGGCAGUUGAUCCCAUCAUGCGCCCUUGACCUGUGCGAAAAUGGGAGAAAUUUGGUCAAGGAUAUUUCUCUAGUCUGAGAAAAUAUAUCCGUAGAAAAAUGUCCAUUCAUUGGAUAUUCAGUUUAAGUUAAUCUAAACUAACUAAUAGGAUUGAGUCAAGUCUAUUCAUUAGAUCAUCAAGGUAAUUCACUGUAAAAGAUAAUAAUGUAAAUACCAUAAAUAGUUGGUACAUAACGUUAUAUAUACACCAUAUGGACACACAUUUGAAGUGUAAAAAUAUUCAAUUGAUAUAUGGUGCUGUAAAUAUCGGUAGUGUUUCUUGGUACUUAAAACAAGUGCACUCGGGGGCGUGUAGAAUGCGCGAAUAUUCAGUUCCCGAAUACUCUCAAUGCCAGCAGACUCCUGGAGUAUUUUGUAUUUGAUAGUACCACAUGCCUUAGUAAGUUCUCCAGUUCCACCAAUAAUGGCCCAUUCCCCCACGGGAUUAAAAAUCACCAUCACCUGAAGAGUCGCUCCCUUGAAGCUAGUUCACACACAAAAUCAAAAGUCUCGAUUCUAUGCCAUCUAACAAAUAAAAACUCUGUGCUCAAAUAUACUACGAUAAUGCCUUUAAUAUAAGCACUAGAUAAGAAUAGUAGUCAUGGAAUUAUUUAUUGUUCUAUGCAAGUACAUAAGGUUUUGCCUUCCCUCCACAAAAGCAAGGUUGAAAGAAUUGUAAUAGCCAACACUUGGUUGAUCAGCCAUGACAUGAAUUCCUUGUGCAUGACCAACGACCUUCGCUUUGAAAUCUAGGGCAUCAACUAUGGCCCAGUUAUUAACAUUGGUGAUACCAAACAAAGUCUCACCAGGUUUUGUUGGUAUGGUUGUCUUUUGAUUGGCGUUUGGUCCUACGAUGGUGCAGGUACAACGCCAUGUUUAGCUCCUUUUCACACGGCAUGCAACAUUGAGUAAGGUAUAUUUGGGGAAGAGGAGUGGCCAUUUUGAGACAAUCGGAUUCAAGUGGAUGGGUGUGGUGACUACCUAUCCAGAAGAGAAACUAUAUUUGUGUGAUUCUCUGGCUUUCUGUGUGCUAUGGCAUGCAGUGUUGGGCAGUAUUUAUGGUAUGGAAGCAGUAGGUCGACUCAAAAGAUAUAUGUGCAUAUCACACAAUUAGUCCGUUUAUUCCUUUUAUUUGACUAGCCUUGGAAUAAGCAUAAUCUUAUUUUGUAUAUCUUAUAGAUUAUCUGGAGUGUAUCUUUACAUAUCCAUGAUCCACUUGCUAAAAUUUUCAUUUUAUGUCCGUCAUGCAACACGCAUUGCUACCUUUUGCCAUAACUUUUCACGCCGUGAAGUACAAAAUACUAAACGAUCUAAUCCCUAGGACUUGGUCCAUUGGCCCCUACAUGCGAUUUGUUGUAAUUCCAUGCGGAGAGGGACAUGUACCAACUGUGAAUAUUGUUUUUCUUAUCGUACACCAUGGGUUCAGUAGGGGAAGCUAAAGAUUGCAGGAUUUUUCCCUUCGUUAGCUUCUCUGUUCUCAUUCCAGGCAUAGCUUUGGCUUUUCUUAGCACAUUUGCUCACAGUUAUCUACUGUAGCAUCACCUAAUUAUGUUAUCCAUAAUACCUGAACCAGCUGUUCAAUCCUGGAAGGGGUGAUCAUCUAAGACAGAAUAUAUGGUGGUUCAGAGUAUUACUUAUUUUAUGCAAUACGGCCAGUGUCUCUAGGAGUUAUUCCAACCCCAUGCAUGCAUGUGAAGGCUAGCAAUUCUAUGCUCUCCAAACGAAUUAAUUAUAUAUUAACUUGAGUACAACUUGCUUUGAUAACGCCAAAUAUACUGUCAAUAAUAAAGAUGGGGACAAAGACCCUCUUAAAAGAAUGGACGGGGUAGUUUGCUUCCCAAAUAUAUGAGAAGACUAGAAGCUUAGUCAUUGUAUUCCUUUUCUUUGACUGGUCAUGAAAGCUGCAUACAGUUUUGCAUCUUUUUUUUGUUACAUCUGAUUGAUUACGUAGAGUAUAUAAUCACAUAAAGGAGGCAAUGCUGUAAUUUUCAAUGCAGUUUCUUUGUGUUAGUUCUGUUGCUAGAUUUUUCUUGUACUAAUAAUGUUCACACAAUGAAUACAAAAUUCUGAAACUCCUGAACUCCUGCUAGCUUGGCAGCAGCCUAUGGUAGAGGAUUGGCCGAGAGGAUGGAGCCUAUAUACCUGCAUUCACACUUAGGGCUGGUGAAUCAUGAUGGAUGAGAAGUUUCGCCGGUCGUGCAUUUGCUCUUCCAUACCAUCUUUCUAGUGGAAUGGGAAAUGGCUCUGUACAUGGAAAACAUAGGUCCUGAUAACUGCCUCUCUCAAUGGUUUGUUAUGUCACAUUCACCCAAAAUAACAUCCCUCUAGGCACAAUACAAAUAAAACCAAGAUAAAGCUACAAGCACAUUUGGAAUUUUCCUUGCAUGCUAUUACGACGCCCGUGUGAUGCUACAGAAUUAUAAAAACGUAUUAAGAGACGUUGAUCAGAUCUUUUUCGCCAAAUUGAAAAGCAUUUUUGAACAUGAUUCGAGACUUUCUCCUGAUAAUUUGCUCUGGCAGAAGACAUAUGUGUUCAUGAAUUUAUACACCAUUUAGUACCCUAAUAAACAGAAAGGAACAUUAUGCUUGUGAAUUCAAAUCUUGGCGAGAGCUUAGCAUCAUGUGCUUGCCCGGGGUUCUACCGGACGGCUCUUGAAAAACACAUAGUCAUUAUAUUACUUCUCUUUGAUUAGCCUCGGAAGAAGCAUAGUCUUAUUUUGCAUAUCUUAUAGAUUAUCUGGGGUGUAUAUCUAAAUAGAUGACCCACUUGCUAAAUUUUCCAUUUUUAUGUCCUUCGUGCCUUUUGCGUUGCUACCUUUUUUGCCACAAACUUUUCAUAUCAGGGAGUAGAAAAUACUAAGCCAUGUAAUUCCUGGGACUUGGUCCAUUGGCCCCAUGUGCUCAAACAACAUAAUAUCAUAUCAUGUGCUCCUGAUAGAGAGCCUGCUCUAUCUAUAGACAGCUAGCGUAUAAUAUAUUAUCCAUACGACCUGAACCGCUAGAAGGUGUGAUCAUCUAGUAAAAAAUAUAUGGUAGCUCAGACCUAUUAAAAUAUUUAAAUAAUACAGUUUGUCUAGGAGUUGUUCCAACUCGAUCCACAAUGUGAAUGCCACCAAGUAUAUGCUCUAGCUUAUCCCAUUAUGCCAAACCUAUAUGUUAUUACGACAGAACCAUAUCGCUUAGAAAAAUUCUAUAUCAGUUGGAGUACUACUUCCUUUGAACACUGCCAAAAAUAAUUUCAAUAAUAAAAGAUGCGGAUAAGGAAUCCCAUACAAAAUGGUUGGAGUAGGAGUAGUUUGUUUCUAAAAUAUACGUGAAGACCAGAGGCUUAGUCAAGACUAUAUUUCUGUUUCGUUAUAUCUUAUUGAUUGUCUCUACCAUAUAUGUACAUGAAGACUAGAGGCUUAGUCAUUUUAUUCCUUUUGUUUGACGCACCCUGCAAGAAGCGUAAAGCUUUAUACUUCUGUUUUGUUAUUUCUGAUUGAUUGUCUCUAGCAUAUAUUCACAUGGGGCCACUAGUUUGUUCAUGUGAGUUGUGUUUCUACCAUUUCAUAUACUAAUGUUAAAACUGUGAAUAACAUAUACUGAAAUUCCAGAUUGCUUGGCAGCAACGGAGUUAUCCCCAUGCAAGGUCGAUCAUUUGGCUAGGGUGGAGCCCUAUAUUGGCAUUCACACUUAGGGCUGGCCAUUCAUGAUGGUGGAGAACUUGCACCUGUCGUGCAUGUUAUCAGCGCCAACUGUCAAGUGAAUGUAGAAGUGGUUGUAGCACCAAAACUAAAAGCUAUAAUGGAUAAGGGUUCCACGUGCGUAUGAUGCCAAACACAAGGUCCUGAUAACUUCUUCCCUCGAUGCGUUGUUCCAUAGCAUUCACCCAAAAUAACAUCCCACAACGCAUGCCGCAACAAAGAAUAAAAACCAGGAUCAAUAACAAUAAUUGGAAUUUUACUAACAUACUAGUAGGGGUGUUGGUGCGCUGCUAUGGAAAUACAUAAAGGUGUUACCGAGACAGUGAUCGGAUAUAUUUUUUGUCAAAAUGAAAUGCCUAUUUUAAAAAUGAUCCAAGUCCUUCGUGCAACAAUUCCACUACAUGUCAUGCAUGUAUACAUCGUUAAGUCCCCUCGUAAAGAGAAAAGAAUAUAUGCUAAUGUGGCAAAGAGAUUCUUCCUCCCGCGACGCUCCCGUGGGCGUCCGGGGGGCCUAACCCUAGCGCCGCCGCCGGUCGCUCCCUCCCCCACUCCCUCCUCCCUUGCCGCCGCCCGAGGGCGCGAGCGGGCGAAGCCCGCCCGUCGCAGGCGGCGGCGGGGCUCUCUCGUCUCCGCGCUCGAGGGGUACGGCGCGGGACGGAUGCCUCAGCCCGGAUGCGGCGCUUGGCGCUGGGCGCAGCAGCUCGACGGCGCUCCGGCGUGGGCCGACGGCGGGGCGUGGCGGCGAUGCGACGGGCAGCGCGGAGGUGGUGUGGGCUGGAGGUCGGUGGUGGCGGCGGCUGCAUCCGGUGGCGCGCCCAGAUCCGCCUCCGGAGCCGCGGGUCGCGGGCGACCUGGGUCGCGGUCGGCCUCUCCUGCCAUGGCUCGUGGGCGGGGGGCGGCGCGGCAGCUGGUGGAUGUGUGCGCCGCUGCCCGGUCGGGCCUUUGCGGCUGGUCGGCGUCGUACGGCACGGGAGAUCCCUCCGGUGGUCAUCCAUGGACGUGGCGGCGAGCGCUCUGCUUCCUCUGCUCCGGCCACGGGCCGCUGCCGUGGUCUCGCGCGGGGCCGGACCUAUGGCAGGGUGGGGCGAAACUGGUGGUUUCGGGACGGGGAGCUGGUUGGAAGGACUGGAGCUCCGUUGCGGAGCUGCCCAUCGCUGGCCCAAGUGGUUGCCAGUCGUGGCCGUGGGCCAUUCCUCCCCCUCCCCCCUUCCCCAUCCUCAUGUGUUCUCGGUUCCGGCGUUGCUCGAGGUGGAGGUGGUUGGCCGGCGGUCUCGGAGGCAGUUUGGGUGCGGAUUUGCUCAAAGUCUCGGCCUUUGGUGAUCAUCAGGGCGGUCUGGAGGCAGAGCGGCGGCUCUGGCGGCAGGAGGCGCGUUGGUCGUGGGCUGACCGUGCGGCUCGGGUGCGGGCGGGCAGCCACGGUCGCUUGGGCGGCAUGGCUGCGGGUGGUUGGUGGAGCGGGGUUGCGACGGAGAGGUUGGAGCACCGGGGUUCACCACUUGACCAGUCCCGGUACUGGCCGACGGAGGCGGCGUCCGCGGACGCCGUUCCCCUCCCUGCAGGCUUCGUCGUGGUGCUCCCACCGCCUCCUACGCGUCACUCCGGGUGAAAACUUGAUCUUCUGGAUCAGAUGAUGACGGCUUUCUACGGUCGUAUCCUUCUUGAGGGUGUCGUCUUGGAGUCCCCGCUUUGGUCGUGUCCGGCUCAUCACUCCUCGGUUGAUUGUUCAUCUUCAUGGUGGUUAUCGGCUUAUCAUUAGGGUGCUUAGUCGUCGUUGGGGUGAUGUGUUCGGUGCUCGGCACCUUUGUAUCUCGCCUUGGGUGCGUGCGUUGAGUGUGGUGGUGGAGUGCGUUUGUAUCUUACUCACAUGUGUUGGUGAUGAUGCUUUAUCUAUAAAGCGGGGGAAACCCUUUUUCUUAAAGAGAAAAGAAUAUUGAG
rnacentral:lncRNA from 1 species